rnacentral:rRNA from 1 species
GUGGGGAAUAUUGGACAAUGGGCGCAAGCCUGAUCCAGCCAUGCCGCGUGAGUGAUGAAGGCCCUAGGGUUGUAAAGCUCUUUCACCGGUGAAGAUAAUGACGGUAACCGGAGAAGAAGCCCCGGCUAACUUCGUGCCAGCAGCCGCGGUAAUACGAAGGGGGCUAGCGUUGUUCGGAAUUACUGGGCGUAAAGCGCACGUAGGCGGGUAUUUCAGUCAGGGGUGAAAUCCCGGAGCUCAACUCCGGAACUGCCUUUGAUACUGGGUACCUAGAGUAUGGAAGAGGUAAGUGGAAUUCCGAGUGUAGAGGUGAAAUUCGUAGAUAUUCGGAGGAACACCAGUGGCGAAGGCGGCUUACUGGUCCAUUACUGACGCUGAGGUGCGAAAGCGUGGGGAGCAAACAGGAUUAGAUACCCGGGUAGUCC